GAUGAACGCUGGCGGCGUGCCUAAUACAUGCAAGUCGAGCGAACAGACGAGGAGCUUGCUCCUCUGACGUUAGCGGCGGACGGGUGAGUAACACGUGGAUAACCUACCUAUAAGACUGGGAUAACUUCGGGAAACCGGAGCUAAUACCGGAGAAUAUAUUGAACCGCAUGGUUCAAUAGUGAAAGACGGUUUUGCUGUCACUUAUAGAUGGAUCCGCGCCGCAUUAGCUAGUUGGUAAGGUAACGGCUUACCAAGGCAACGAUGCGUAGCCGACCUGAGAGGAUGAUCAGCCACACUGGAACUGAGACACGGUCCAGACUCCUACGGGAGGCAGCAGUAGGGAAUCUUCCGCAAUGGGCGAAAGCCUGACGGAGCAACACCGCGUGAGUGAUGAAGGUCUUCGGAUCGUAAAACUCUGUUAUUAGGGAAGAACAAAUGUGUAAGUAACUAUGCACGUCUUGACGGUACCUAAUCAGAAAGCCACGGCUAACUACGUG
rnacentral:rRNA from 1 species